rnacentral:rRNA from 1 species
UACGGAGGGGGCAAGCGUUGUUCGGAGUUACUGGGCGUAAAGCGCGCGUAGGCGGUGCGGUAAGUCAGGGGUUAAAGGCUGCAGCUCAACUGCAGUAAGGCCUUUGAUACUAUCGCGCUAGAGUGCCAGAGAGGAUGGCGGAAUUCCCGGUGUAGCGGUGAAAUGCGUAGAUAUCGGGAGGAACGCCAUUGGCGAAGGCGGCUAUCUGGCUGGUAACUGACGCUGAGGUGCGAGAGCGUAGGGAGCAAACAGG